GAGUGAGUGUUUCUAUGUCAGUGGAUCCCACUGGGUUUGUGGUUAAAGAGAGUAGAGGGAAGAAUGCAGCCGUGAAUGUGUCCUUUCUAGUGGAAAUCUUUGCAGGACUCCUCAUGGCCAAUUGCUGAAUGGACUUGGGCUUGCCUUGCAGAUAUGCAACAUCUACCAAGAUGCUAAGUUCCUGUAUUCUUCCUGAAUUUUGGCCACUCUCUGAAGGGGUUAGUGUUUUUGUUCCAAGAUGGGUACCACCUUCAAGCUCUGUGACAUGGCCAUGGACUGGAUUGCUGACAGGAAUGCCAAGCAUCUCAGAAAAGUCAAAAAGUAGCAUGACUGACCCUGACUCACCCCACGUGACAGAGCUCCCUCCAGCACUGUGUCUCGGUUGACUUUUAUGGAUUUCAAAAACAAACACCAAACUUCCAGGGAAGCUGCAAGAAAUACCAUUAAAACUGGAGGGUGAGCCAAAGGCUUCACAAUCCACCCAGGGAGACACUCAUACCCCAAUGGUCACAGUUACCUACAAAGAGAAGAUUCAGCUCUGCUGCCUCCUGUUCAUAUUGGAAAAUAUGAAACCAUGUCCUCCUGUUCACCGAGACUGAGACCAAGCUUUCAUGGUCUCACUGCAAAGGAAGCCAAAGCACAAAGCUAUAUUGCUAGUGCACAAAUGUCAGAGGCAGAUAGUCAAGAAGUCAUUAGGCCAGCAAAGUUCCAUGUUCGUGGAAUGUGUACCCUGUCCCCUACUUUUGGGAUCUCUUCUGCCACAUCCAAGUUUGUGAGCUCCUCAGAAUUUCCAAUUCUAGAUGUGUAUUCACAGAUUAUUUUCCUCUUCUCCUCUCAUUGUGUCUUAUUUGGGGUGAUAGUAAUUUCAAGGCAUUGUGGUGGAUAACCAUGGAAGAUUUUUAUGUGGCACGUGUUCGCAUAUAUAUAUAUAUUAGACUCAUUUUCCGUUUUGCCACUUGAAAUAUUGAAUCUCUGACACUAACCCAUAACCUACUGGACUCUGACUACUUAUGGUAACAUCGAUAAAAAUAAUCCUAAAGAAUACAAGUAGAGGCAUUUGAUAGGAGACAUGGUGUAUGCAUUGACUUGUAUUUUUCUUCAUCAGAGAUACAUGCAAUAAAACCUGUCACACA